rnacentral:rRNA from 1 species
CCUACGGGUGGCAGCAGUGGGGAAUAUUGGACAAUGGGGGCAACCCUGAUCCAGCAAUGCCGCGUGUGUGAAGAAGGCCUGAGGGUUGUAAAGCACUUUAGUUGGGGAGGAUGGUGAGCGAGGUUAAGAGCUAUGUUCAUUGACGUUACCCAAAGAAUAAGCACCGGCUAACUCCGUGCCAGCAGCCGCGGUAAUACGGAGGGUGCAAGCGUUAAUCGGAAUUACUGGGCGUAAAGGGUGCGUAGGCGGUUAAGUAAGUUAUCUGUGAAAUCCCUGGGCUUAACCUAGGUAGGAAAGAUAAUACUGUUUAACUAGAGUGUGGUAGAGGAUAGUGGAAUUUCCGGUGUAGCGGUGAAAUGCGUAGAGAUCGGAAGGAACACCAGUGGCGAAGGCGGCUAUCUGGACCAACACUGACGCUGAGGCACGAAAGCGUGGGGAGCAAACAGGAUUAGAUACCCGAGUAGUC